rnacentral:misc_RNA from 1 species
CUCCUUUCUUGUGGUUACUUGCAAUUCAAAUCUGAUCACUCUCUCUUUGUAAAGGCAAUUGGUGACUCUUUUACUGCUAUUUUGGUCUAUGUUGAUGAUCUUAUUCUUGCAGGGAACAAUAUGGCAGAAAUCAAUUCCUUAAAAAGCUUUCUAGACACAUCUUUUAAAAUUAAAGAUCUUAGAAAUCUUAAAUAUCUUUUGGGGUUAGAAAUAGCAAGGACAACAGAAGGCAUCUCUCUUUGUCAAGGAAAGUAUGCUCUAGAAUUGCUUUCUGAUCUGGAUAUUUGGCUGCUAAGCCAGCUAAAACCCCAAUGGAUUUUACCACUAAGCUAUCAAAAGAUAAAGGGACUCCAUUGUUUGAUAUUGCUUCUUAUAGACGCUUAGUUGGAAAGCUGUUAUACCUAACCACUACAAGACAUGACUUAUCUUUUGCUACACAUCAAUUUAGUCAGUUCUUGUCUGCUCCUACAGAUUUACAUGAGAAGGCUUUGCACAGAGUUCUUAGAUACAUUAAAGCCUCUCCUGGUCAAGGUCUUUUCUUUCCUUCUAAAUCUAAAAUUAAACUCAAAGCUUUUAGUGAGUUAGAUUAAGGUAGUUGUGAGGAUACUAGGCACUCAAUUACUGACUAUAAUGUGUAUCUUGGUGAUUCUUUAGUAAGUUGGAAAUCUAAGAAACAGAAUACUGUUUCAAGUCAUCUUCUGAGGCAGAAUACAGGACACUUGCUUCUACAACUUGUGAGCUACAAUGGAUACUUUACAUUCUGAAUGAUUUUUGUGUUCCUCAUCCUUAGCCAGCUAUCAUUUACUAUGAUAAUCAAUCUGCCCUUCACAUAGCUGCUAAUCCAACAUUUCAUGAAAGGACAAAACAUAUUGAGCUAGAUUGUCAUUUGGUUCGAGAGAAGGUUCAGCAGGGUCUCAUCAAACUUCUGCCUAUUUCAUCUACUACUCAAUUAGCUGACAUUCACACCAAACCUUUAG